UUCUUUCUCAUCUUCUCUUUAGCCUUGUGCCAGUGCCGGAACUGUCCAGAGAACGAGACGCGGAGGAGACUCAUUAUGGAGGUACAAUCCCUCUACCUACAGACCUAACCGCUUGGGAGUUUCCGGUGACCCAUAAAAAAUCGUAGGCAAUCUUAGCCACUGGUAUACUCUCGAUUUGGGCGUUAUUGUAUGUUCAGACCAAUCGUGAUAAGAAGCUGUUAAUGAACAAGAAUUCAGAUACCACAAUGAAGAUUGUUUUUGCAGGGUUGUUUUGAGUGCCUAUGAUCUUUGCUCCUCGUACUCUUCUCAACUGUCUUCACAUGGUGCAAUGGUUGAAGGAACAAAUGGUGGAGUUGGAACUCUAAAAAGUGGAGAACAUGCAUGAUGAAGAAAAUUGAAAAAUAGUAACGUUAUACGCUCAAAUAAAUGAGAGAUUUCAAGCGUUGCCACAAAACUUUUGACUGAGUUAAGAUAUGGGUUAAUGUUGGUAGACAUUAUAAUUUGAGUAUUUAUUAUAUUGCUUUUGGAUACUUGGCAUAUUUAUUUUGGUUUGAAUAAACUGAUAUUUUAUU
rnacentral:lncRNA from 1 species